CAUUGAACGGACGCAAGCGUAACUAGGAUGGUUACGACUAAGGAUGGCAAUGGACACCUCUGGAAGAGGAAGGACUUUACAUCAGGAUGAUGUCAGGGACACCGCUCAGGGAACAAGUGAUGGAUACCAACGAGGAUUGUUGGUCGACCAGGAUAGGGUCAAGGACACCGCUAGGAUGGCGACGUAAGGACUAAGCUGACGGAUUCGACAUACUAUCAAGGAUUUGAUGCAGGGAGCACUUUCGUAGCUGGAUUGCUGCAAGUAAGACUAUAACCCCGGUGGGCAUACGCUCCCGGGGUUUUUCUUUGCUUG
rnacentral:other from 1 species